GUAUUAAUUGGAGAGAGAAAGUUACCAAAAAAGGAAAUGUGUCAUCUUAGUUGGGACAAACUAAAAAGGAAAACGUGACAUCUUAAGCGGGACGGAGGGAGUACUACUCUUUGGUUAACAUGCUCAAACGAAGUGGCGUUGGCUUCACAAUUACAAGGGCGAUCACAAGAUUGAUUGUGAUAAUGACCAAUGGGAACAAAUUGUUAGGAUGGAUAACAAUGCACGCUACAUGCGUUUUAAGUCGUGGCCUAUGUUUGAUUAAUGGAAAGACAUCUUUGGCAAGGAUCGGGCAAUAGGCUCUGCUGGCCGGGAUUUACAGGAGAUGUACCUUGGUGUGCGAUCGAAUCUCAAUGGUGGAUAAUGGGAGUCAAGAGGCUGACUUUGAAGCUAGUGCUGAUGGCCACUCUGGAACUAAUCCACAUAACACCACGAGCUCUCAAGAAAUGCCAGUUAACACCAUGGGCUCGCAAGAAAUGGCAGAUCAGAGUACGGGAGACAGUGACAGCGGAACUCAGCUUCCGCGGAGAAAAACGGUGACACCAGAACUCAAUUGCCAAAGAAAUCAGGAAGGAAAAAGAAAAGAGAUCAGUAGCCUCCCUUCCCCCAAAAUAAUAACGAUUCACUAUACGAUUUUCCGGCGGAUUGAAUGUCCAAUCGUAUUAUCGAGACAUCACUAAGGUAUGACUCAUAUUUUGGCCUAUUCUUAUAAAAUGAAAGUUGAUAAAUACAUUGGUAUGAAAGGAUGUAGGUUUCGAUUUUUAUAGAGUAGAGAAGAAUGAAUAAAUUCUUGAAAUAGUUUAUAAGCAUGUGAUUUCAGGAUGAUAUUAAGCAUGUUUGGAUUAUUAAUUUUAAGCUAUAAACACUCUAAUUGUGUUGAAUAUCUUAGCCGAUAGUUUGUGUGGAUAGGGGUUAAGAGUUUUGAAUUUUACUAAAUAAAUUCUAUUGAGAAUAAGUGAUUUGGGGAUGAAUAAUAUAAUUAUGUUAGAUUAUAACAGUCAUUUGGUGUAAUUUAGAAACUUUAUUGGAAUAUUUGGAUUUCGAAUGGUUCUGAAAUAUAAAAUUUUAAAUCACUAUACUUGGUAGCGCCUCUUUUUGUGACAUCAUUUGUUCAGUCGACAAACGGUCGGGCAGGGGGUAUUACAAUGAAACCAAUGCUAGGCUUGAUAAAUUGGCCAUUAGGAUUGGGUUUGAGUUUGAUGUUAGCAAGGCAAGAAAGAAAGUGUUUGGCAUGCUUGGUAAUAUACAAGGCAUAACUCUUGGACAGCAAAUCGAUGCUGCUGAAUUCAUCCUCAGCAAAGUCGAACAUUCAGACUUGUUUAAUAGCCUUCCUGAAGCUUUCCAUCACACUUACGUUCUUCGUGCAUUAGAGAAAAAUCACUGUUAGUUUGUGAUGGUUGUUUGUUUGAUCUUUUGACUUAGCUAUGUAGUGGGAGAUGAUAUCUAAUCUUCCUUAUGUGGAAUGAACUAUUAUCACAUUUAUGAUCUUUUGUCUA